GGUGUUUCGAGGAUUACCGAUUGAUUGAAUUUUGGGGUUGUUAAAGAAAGUCUUUCGAGGGGAGAUGAUCGCGAUGAGCGGCUGCAUUUAUUCAUACGUCCCCGACAACUGGACGCGUCGACAGGAGAAAAUAUCGGAUCGAAGAAUGCCCGGUUAAGUAAGAAGACAUGGAAGAAGACCAAGCCACGGAACGCGGAAAAUGGGAGGAAGGGAACAGGAGUAACAAAUCGUAAUGACAGGGGGUGGGGCUUUUUCCAGCCGUGCACGAGGAUACGCUCACUGGGAAAAUCUUCCCAUGGCGGUGAGAAACGGUGAUCGGAGCCACAUCGUGUUAGCUCGUCGACUUCUCGACCGUGCUCGAUCUAUCUAAUUCCUGAUCGGUCUGGACGAACCAGAGGUUCGAUGUCCAUUACGAGGAGACGUGCCAGAAGGGAAACGCUGGUUUCCUCGAAGACGUCCUCGUUUUCACGUUUCCACGAUUUCACGGGGAGUUCAUAUUCGUCGCGAUAACGCGAGGCACGAUUACAGGGUUACACCAGAAUACUCAAUAAAAUAAAGAUUCCAAAGGGGAUCACGUCCAUUCAUCAGGAUCAAACUACUGAAAUCUCAACUACUUCAGCGAUUUUGUUAAUAUUCAGACGUCCAUCGCUGGCGAAGUAACAUGGAGACAGUUUCCAUUGAGGCUACCUUUAACGAAUACAAAGAUAAUUAAAAAGAAAGAAUUGCGGCACGGGCACUCAAUAAAUAUCCUGUUUUCGUAAAAUUAUCGACACGGCCGCCAUUAAGGACGCUGACACGAAUUACAGCGGUCACGAAUUAAGAGACGCGGGAUCACGAGUAUUCGUUGCUUGGACCCCCUCCCGUUCGUCUCGAUCUCUUUUUCCACGCUCGGCCGAGCGUUUUACUAAAUUACUCGAGGCUACUGUGUAAAAUAUGGCCGCCGCCGAUGAUAUCGUUGUACCCGCCGCCCGAGACGCGCCAAUGGGACUCGUUUAAUUACACGAUAAAUUUUCAUCCGGGCAAACACCUGUCCACAGUUUAUUAAAAAGUAAUUGGUCGAUGUGUAUCGUCUCUCGCCGGCGCGUUUGAUAAAUAAAAUUUACUUUGCCGAUUAAAAUUCGUGACUUUAUGGGACGCCUGAAGAACAUCCAGAGUAAUUAAUGGUUGCACUUGAUUAGUAUAAGUAUAAUGCUAGCCGCGUAUACCGUUGUUUUCCCGUAGCGUUGGAGUAAUUUAUUUUGAAAGUUUAUCGACUGAUAACGGGUGUGGCCAGACGAGCGAUUUAUUUAUUUGUGGAGAGGGAUGAACUUCGUACAGAUGGGAAGGAAUUAAAUGCUUAGGCUAAGAUUUUCUACCCAAGUCCUUUCCAGUGUCGAUUGCGCCCCCCAAAUGCUAUACUUUCAAACCGAAUUUUCGCUCAGAAGCAAAUGCGAGAUCGAUUGAACAGAUACCAGUGGAAUCUGGGACUCGAAGGCUGGUAUUCGAAAAGUGCCGGCUGGAAGAGCCGAGUCGUAAAAUCGUAGAGGAACGUCGCCACCAUUCGGCGCGCCGUUAAAUUACAGAGGACGCGAACAAUGUCUGAAUCGCUUCUGUCAUCGUCGUUUACUCGUCGAAUCGUCGCGCAGUGCCGCGAGAACUAUUUCGCGCGGCGAUCACGCAAAUGGCCAUUGGUCGGCACGAGUUACGAUCCUGCGGAACAAUCUUCGAUUGCGUUUGAAGACCAGACGGUUCGUCGUGGACAAAUAACGCAGUUCGCGGAUUGUGCUUGGAAGUUUGCUGCGGAUUGCGCUGUUUCGAAUGGCUCGAUUACUUCUAAUUGUCAGACUUUAGUGGACGAUUUGAACGAGUGAGGAAGAAGACGAAGAAGAAGAAGAAGAAGACUAUUGUUGCGUAGGAGGUAUACUGAUUUGAAAUCAAUAUUUUUGUCCUAUUUGUAAGAUUGUUUUUUUUAUGUAAUUUACUAGUUAUUGUUUUACCAAACACUUAUGUACGUUAUCAUCGUUUUUGAACCUGAGAGGAUGCUACCGUUUUUAGCCAAGAAGGUAGCUAGACAGAAAUGUGAAUUUAAUAAUGAAUACGAAAAUAUGCUACAUAAUUAAAUAGAAAUAAAUAAAGGCAACUAUUAAUUUAAUGUACAAUGAUGAAUAUACUAAACGAUUUUCCGCCAAGAACGUAGAACUAAAUGAAAGUAAAAACAUGCUACAUAAUGAAAGUGCAAAUAAAGGGAACCAAGUACUAAUUUAACGUACAAUUAUGAAUAUGCUAAAAGAUUUUUAGCGAAGAAUGCAGCUAAAUAAAAAUAUGAAGUAAAUAAUAAAAAUAAAUGAAAGGAGCUACUUAAUUUAAUGUAUAAUGAUGAAUACACUAAACGACUUUCCGCCAAGAACGUAGAACUAAAUGAAAGUAAAAACAUGCUACAUAAUGAAAGUGCAAAUAAAGGGAACCAAGUACUAAUUUAACGUACAAUUAUGAAUAUGCUAAAAGAUUUUCAGCGAAAAAUGCAGCUAAAUAAAAAUAUGAGUUAAAUAAUAAAAAUGAAAUCAUAUCACAUAGUGAAACUACAAAUAAAUGAAAGCAACCACCAAUUUAAUUUACAGUGAUGAAUAUAAAUAAAGGUCACAGAAAAAUCCUCCGCGUGAAGGGUAACCAGAAGAGGAUCGGCAAGAAUUAACCCCCAUCGAACCGAUUGGUCGUAAAUCCUGAACAUUAUUCUGAAAAACGGUGGAAUAAAGUUUCGCUGGUCGUUCGAUAGGCGAACCACGGCUAGUUCUCGAACAGGUCUCGGCGAUCGUUUGACCAGUUAACCAUAAACAAGUUGCUUCGCGGGAAAUCGGUGAAACGCAUGCUCGAGGGAGGCUCUCGCACGUGUCUCGGCGCUAAUAGGAAAGCGAUUUAUGCUCGCGAGCCUUUUAUUUAUUAUUCCAUCGACGCUGCCGUAUUUAUUAUUACACAUCCACGGAUUCCCGAUGCUUUUCGCGCUGGUUUGCGCCGCGGGUGUGUCCAUCGAUGAUAAGUUAAUUAGCGCCAGGGUGUCCCGCCUAGCGAUUAAUCUAAAACGCGCCUGGUUCGCGCAAAUUAGAUGUCCGUGCUUAGAACGAUCUUCCAAUGGGGUCAGCGGUUAGUCCGAAUGGUGCUUCUGUUAUUUCAUGCAUUCCCAUUUCCUUCUCGCGGGUCAUUUAACCUCUUCGCAUUCAUCCAGGGCUGGUUAAGGUUUAUAAGUGCAAUAACUAUAGCCAAAUAGUUUGUCACUUUAAAUAAAGUACAUGGAUACAUGGUUAAGGUUUAUCAAGACUUUUGUUUUGUCAAAAAUUGUUUACUUUAUGUUUAAUAACAUAGUGUGAGUUGUUAUUCCUCUUCCUCUUCUCAUAUAUAAUAUAUGAGAUUCAAUGAUAAUUAGAUAUGAAUUGAAAGGUAAAUUUU